AGAGUUUGAUCCUGGCUCAGGAUGAACGCUGGCGGCGUGCUUAACACAUGCAAGUCGAACGAACCUUCGGGUUAGUGGCGGACGGGUGAGUAACGCGUGAGAAUCUGCCCUCAGGAGGGGGAUAACGGUUGGAAACGGCCGCUAAUACCCCAUAUGCCGCGAGGUGAAAUGAAUUUCGCCUGAGGAUGAGCUCGCGUCUGAUUAGCUAGUUGGUGUAGGUAAUGGCUCACCAAGGCAUCGAUCAGUAGCUGGUCUGAGAGGAUGAUCAGCCACACUGGGACUGAGACACGGCCCAGACUCCUACGGGAGGCAGCAGUGGGGAAUUUUCCGCAAUGGGCGAAAGCCUGACGGAGCAACGCCGCGUGAGGGAUGAAGGCCUCUGGGCUGUAAACCUCUUUUCUCAAGGAAGAAGAUCUGACGGUACUUGAGGAAUAAGCCACGGCUAAUUCCGUGCCAGCAGCCGCGGUAAUACGGGAGUGGCAAGCGUUAUCCGGAAUUAUUGGGCGUAAAGCGUCCGCAGGCGGCCCUUCAAGUCUGCUGUUAAAGCGUGGAGCUUAACUCCAUCAUGGCAGUGGAAACUGUUGGGCUUGAGUGUGGUAGGGGCAGAGGGAAUUCCCGGUGUAGCGGUGAAAUGCGUAGAUAUCGGGAAGAACACCAGUGGCGAAGGCGCUCUGCUGGGCCAUCACUGACGCUCAUGGACGAAAGCCAGGGGAGCGAAAGGGAUUAGAUACCCCUGUAGUCCUGGCCGUAAACGAUGAACACUAGGUGUCGGGGGAAUCGACCCCCUCGGUGUCGUAGCCAACGCGUUAAGUGUUCCGCCUGGGGAGUACGCACGCAAGUGUGAAACUCAAAGGAAUUGACGGGGGCCCGCACAAGCGGUGGAGUAUGUGGUUUAAUUCGAUGCAACGCGAAGAACCUUACCAGGGUUUGACAUCCUGCGAACCUCUUGGAAACGAGAGGGUGCCUUCGGGAACGCAGUGACAGGUGGUGCAUGGCUGUCGUCAGCUCGUGUCGUGAGAUGUUGGGUUAAGUCCCGCAACGAGCGCAACCCACGUCUUUAGUUGCCAGCAUUUAGUUGGGCACUCUAGAGAGACCGCCGGUGAUAAACCGGAGGAAGGUGUGGAUGACGUCAAGUCAUCAUGCCCCUUACAUCCUGGGCUACACACGUACUACAAUGCUACGGACAGAGGGCAGCAAGUUCGCGAGGACAAGCAAAUCCCGUAAACCGUAGCUCAGUUCAGAUCGUAGGCUGCAACUCGCCUACGUGAAGGAGGAAUCGCUAGUAAUCGCAGGUCAGCAUACUGCGGUGAAUACGUUCCCGGGCCUUGUACACACCGCCCGUCACACCAUGGAAGUUGGCCAUGCCCGAAGCCGUUACUCCAACCCUCGGGAGGAGGACGUCGAAGGUGGGGCUGAUGACUGGGGUGAAGUCGUAACAAGGUAUCCGUACCGGAAGGUGCGGAUG
rnacentral:rRNA from 1 species